rfam:Homo sapiens chromosome 1, GRCh38 reference primary assembly.
CGCCGGCCGAGACAGCGCAGACAGACCGACCGACUGGGGUGUUUCGUGAAUGUGAGAGGUAAGCGCCGCGGCCUGCAUUUCCAGAGCUGCCCUUCGCCUGGUUCGUGGCGCCUUGUGACCCCUGCCACCUGCAAGUCGGUAACCGCGCUGUGCUCCUGUGCUGCGGCCUGUGGCUGGACUGCCUGGGAUGCCCUGCCUGCUGCUGCCCGACUGGCUGGCAAGAUGAAGCUCUCCCUGGUGGCCGCGAUGCUGCUG